GGGGGUAUAGCUCAGCUGGGAGAGCAGCAGACUGAAGUCACGUGGGUUCUGAAGGUCCCGCGUUCGAUCCGCGGUACCCCCA